GCAGCAGCCAUCUUAGAGGGACUCAGAGCAGCAACUUGGAGCAGAGGCAGCUGCUGGUGUGUGACAGGAGUGCUGUACAGCUUAUGUCCAAAUGGCAAUUCAGAGGGCGCAACGAUGUGAUUAGUGUCACCAUGGCCCUGUUUCCUGAGAAUUGUCUCAUCACUAUGCAGGACAAUAAUGACACUAUUUAUACUUGAUAUGACACCAGGGUGCCUCUUCCACUCGCAUAAUGCCAUGAGUUCGGGACCGGGGGCCAGCACAGUGUGAUAGUGAUCCCUGCUCCAAUUCUGCAGAGGGCUUCCUGCUCUCCUGGGAGACAAGGGGAACUGUACAAUAUUUGAGUCUCCUAGGCAAGUAUGUCUUUUUUCCAAGGAUAUGUACAGGGUUUAAAGACACAUCCCCUGAAAAUGUUCUCCAUUGUAAUAUUCCCAGUUUUCAAUAUUGACCAACUACAGAAUACAAGUCCCCUCAAUCAGCAUGCUGAACACAGUUCUCUCCGCAUUUUUAAAUCCUCUGGGCUAUUAAGUUAUUAUUUAUUGAGGAGAGUGUUAUGAUAAAAUUUAAUAAAUAUCUUUAUGAUUAUUUAUAAUGCCCAAAGAUCUACCAAUACAGUAUUGUAACAACUUAGAUCAGAUGCAACCGCUCAACAGCCCUGGAAGCUAUUUUAAAAUGUUCUCAUCUAUGUUACAGUACUGGAUAGGACAAACAUAAUUGCCAUCUGAUCACAGACAUUUAUUUCAUCCUGUGUAUCUGUAUAUGCCUCAUGCAUGUUUAAGAUAUUGUGCUCAAAAUUCUAGAUUACUAUGCAAGAGUAGUAAAGAAUAAAAUCUAUAUUCAAAUCACAGAGGUGUUUUGAAACAAUAACAGACAUACAGGAUGCAGCAUUGUUAUACACUUGUAUAUAGAGACCUAAAUAAAUCAUCAGGGGAA